CCAGCAUUCAUGCAUCAACACAGGAGGUUAGACUGAUAGGGAAAAAAAAAAAAUCUGUACCAGCCUUUCACAUACAGUAGACUUCUUUGCUUCUUAGGAUUUCAGAAUGUCAGUUUCUCCAUCCAGGGUCUGUGAAAGACAUCUUCAAAUGCUCCAUUACACUUGGUGCUGUCUUUUCCGAAACUUUACAGAGAGAAUAGAUGCAGGCAGAACCCUACAUAGACCAAUUGCUGAGCUACAGAAGGUCUCUCUCACUGAGCCUGGAAUUCACUGACUCAGCUGGAAUGGCUGUCGGUGGUGCACUCUGGGAACCUGCCUGCCUCAAGCCCUCAGAACCCAAGCUGCCGGCGCCUGCUGCCACACCCAGCUUUUCUGUGUGCGCUGGGAAUCCAAACUGAAGCUUGCACACUUGUGUGCUUUACACACAGAACCUCCUCCCCAGCUUACAAUCAAUAUUUUUAAAUAUAGAAAACAGAAAGAAACAUUAUUUUUCUUGUUAUAUUCAGUGCAUGUUCGGAGCAUGUGGCCCAGACUAUUGUAAGACGUGGGACACUUCCCUCCUGUUUCCGGGGCUGCGGGAAAGUGCUACUGCUCAGGUGCAAAUUGUACUUUUAUAUUAAUAAUUUUAAAAUUAGAAUACAAGGUGUUAGAUAUCAUUGUGGUAUUCUAGAGCACGAUGUAUUUCAGUAGACUCUCCUUCCCCCUCUUCUUACCCUACCUUCCUGCUUCCCAUAACCCUCUCUUGCAACCUUCCCCAGUCUCUUUUUAUCUUUCAUGUCAUCCGUGUCCUUUUACCCACUCCCCAUCCUUCCUCAUCACAUUUUGUGCUCUUUCUUGCUUUCCUUUAGAGAUUUGUUUUCUGAGUUUGGGUGACGUCUGUUUAUUUCAAGCUUUCAAAACUACCCACAUUCCUGCAGAUUCCUGCUGAAAAGAAUUCCAUUGUGUGCACUGUCACAUUUUAUAUGUAUUCAUCUGUGGAUGGGCAACUAGUUGAUUUCUUGUCCUUUCUAAUUGCACUUCCGAAAAAUCACAUCUUCUGUCAAGAUUGACUGAGAGAGUACAGGACCUCCUCAAGCAGGGAUUCCUAGAUGAUGUUCAAGAGGUCCUCAUGCUUGCUGCAGUGGAGUGUGACUGCAUACAUGAGCACAGAAGCAUUUUUCUAAAGGCAAGUUCUCGUAUCGGACUCUAGGAGGGUGAUACAUUCACAAACCUUGUAGCCAAUCCCAGUCCUGCUCUUUUGUAGCUAUGUAUCACACAUUUGUUCUUUCAUUGAUUUACCUCCUCUACAAAUACUUAGCAAAUAACUAUCUUGGAGUAAUCUUUGACUCUUCCCCAAGGCAUCUGUCCUGCACUGUCUCUGACAGCCCAUAGAUGGUGUUCAACCCAGCCUCAGAGGCAGCCAAUGUACACAGAAGCCAGACUGUGUCUGUACUCAACCCUCCAGUGACUCCCUGUCCUGAUUAGUUUUUUACUCAACUUGACACAAGCUCAAGUCAUCUGGGAAGAGAGACUCUCGACUGAGAAAAAUGUCUCCAUCAGCUUGGCCUGUAGGCAACUCCGUGGGGACAUUUUCAUCAUCAAUGACUGAUAUGGGAAUGAGUCACAUCUAGAUUAAGAAGGGGUAAGUGUCAUGAAGAAAAUCCAAACUAGGUUACAGCCAGGAGCCAAUGUGUGAAUUGCAAUCAGCACACACUGAGGCAAGACAUGGAUUGCAAUUACAGGCUAGUGAUGAGCAUUUAGAGCCACAUAGCAAAGUCCAGGCUGUUGCGCUGGGGAGGUGCUAGCCUUCACAGAGAGACAGAUAACAAAGAUACACACAGUUUCCCCACUGGAGAGGGACAGAUGGCAAACAUGCAUGAAAUUUCCCCACUGGAGGGCACAGCAAAUUUCGGCACGAUCUAUUCAGUUGAAGGAUCUGUAGCACUCUGCAUCGUCCCUGUAGCCAGGAGGAAGGACAGGACAGAGUCUGGAGCAGGUGUGAUUUUCUCUGUCUUCUGAGAACACCAGCAGCUGUAUAGCAUGAGCUGGGCUCUGAUCAUAAAAGACUUUAUGGGUCACAGUGAUGUUUCAGAAUUUAAUCUAAGGGAAGGCAUAGUGCAAUUUGACAUUUGCAAAGUUCGCUAUGGACGAUGGUAUAGUUCAGUGGUAGGGCACAUGGUCAGAGUGCAUUAAUUAGGGCCUGGGGUCCAUCCCUGGACUCAAAACCCAAGCCCCAUACAAGCAAACAAAAAAGCAAUUAACAAAAAAGAAAGAGAGAGAGAGAGAGAGAGAGAGAGAGAGAGAGAGAGAGA